rnacentral:rRNA from 1 species
UACGUAGGUGGCAAGCGUUGUCCGGACUUAUUGGGCGUAAAGCGCGCGCAGGCGGUCCUUUAAGUCUGAUGUGAAAGCCCACGGCUCAACCGUGGAGGGUCAUUGGAAACUGGGGGACUUGAGUACAGAAGAGAAGAGUGGAAUUCCACGUGUAGCGGUGAAAUGCGUAGAGAUGUGGGGGAACACCAGUGGCGAAGGCGACUCUUUGGUCUGUAACUGACGCUGAGGCGCGAAAGCGUGGGGAGCAAACAGG